GCCAGGAUGGUCUAGUGGUUAUGACGUCUGCCUUACACGCAGAAGAUCGCGAGUUCAAUCCUCGCUCCUGGUA
rnacentral:tRNA from 1 species